AUGCCGGGAGCCGGGGGUCAUUGGAAAAGUGAGAUGCCGACGUCACUCAAAACGAUCCUUGCAUGGGAGUUCAGGGGCAGAACUGAAGGUAGACUCGGGUGCAGUUAUCCACUCCUACUUGCUUUCACUAGAACAGCAUAUUACACUAUGAAAGCAAGAUCAUGCACUGGCAUCGGUUUUAUUACUCCACAGAUGUGGGUCAUCGGCCAUGACAAAAUAUGGGAUAACAAAUAUUAUGGAUACAAGAUGGCAACAUAA
rnacentral:rRNA from 1 species